AGAGUUUGAUCAUGGCUCAGAUUGAACGCUGGCGGCAGGCCUAACACAUGCAAGUCGAGCGGUAGCACAGAGAGCUUGCUCUCGGGUGACGAGCGGCGGACGGGUGAGUAAUGUCUGGGAAACUGCCUGAUGGAGGGGGAUAACUACUGGAAACGGUAGCUAAUACCGCAUAAUGUCGCAAGACCAAAGUGGGGGACCUUCGGGCCUCAUGCCAUCAGAUGUGCCCAGAUGGGAUUAGCUAGUAGGUGGGGUAAUGGCUCACCUAGGCGACGAUCCCUAGCUGGUCUGAGAGGAUGACCAGCCACACUGGAACUGAGACACGGUCCAGACUCCUACGGGAGGCAGCAGUGGGGAAUAUUGCACAAUGGGCGCAAGCCUGAUGCAGCCAUGCCGCGUGUGUGAAGAAGGCCUUCGGGUUGUAAAGCACUUUCAGCGGGGAGGAAGGCGGUGAGGUUAAUAACCUCACCGAUUGACGUUACCCGCAGAAGAAGCACCGGCUAACUCCGUGCCAGCAGCCGCGGUAAUACGGAGGGUGCAAGCGUUAAUCGGAAUUACUGGGCGUAAAGCGCACGCAGGCGGUCUGUCAAGUCGGAUGUGAAAUCCCCGGGCUUAACCUGGGAACUGCAUUCGAAACUGGCAGGCUAGAGUCUUGUAGAGGGGGGUAGAAUUCCAGGUGUAGCGGUGAAAUGCGUAGAGAUCUGGAGGAAUACCGGUGGCGAAGGCGGCCCCCUGGACAAAGACUGACGCUCAGGUGCGAAAGCGUGGGGAGCAAACAGGAUUAGAUACCCUGGUAGUCCACGCCGUAAACGAUGUCGAUUUGGAGGUUGUGCCCUUGAGGCGUGGCUUCCGGAGCUAACGCGUUAAAUCGACCGCCUGGGGAGUACGGCCGCAAGGUUAAAACUCAAAUGAAUUGACGGGGGCCCGCACAAGCGGUGGAGCAUGUGGUUUAAUUCGAUGCAACGCGAAGAACCUUACCUGGUCUUGACAUCCACAGAACUUAGCAGAGAUGCUUUGGUGCCUUCGGGAACUGUGAGACAGGUGCUGCAUGGCUGUCGUCAGCUCGUGUUGUGAAAUGUUGGGUUAAGUCCCGCAACGAGCGCAACCCUUAUCCUUUGUUGCCAGCGGUCCGGCCGGGAACUCAAAGGAGACUGCCAGUGAUAAACUGGAGGAAGGUGGGGAUGACGUCAAGUCAUCAUGGCCCUUACGACCAGGGCUACACACGUGCUACAAUGGCAUAUACAAAGAGAAGCGACCUCGCGAGAGCAAGCGGACCUCAUAAAGUAUGUCGUAGUCCGGAUUGGAGUCUGCAACUCGACUCCAUGAAGUCGGAAUCGCUAGUAAUCGUAGAUCAGAAUGCUACGGUGAAUACGUUCCCGGGCCUUGUACACACCGCCCGUCACACCAUGGGAGUGGGUUGCAAAAGAAGUAGGUAGCUUAACCUUCGGGAGGGCGCUUACCACUUUGUGAUUCAUGACUGGGGUGAAGUCGUAACAAGGUAACCGUAGGGGAACCUGCGGUUGGAUCACCU
rnacentral:rRNA from 2 species